rnacentral:rRNA from 1 species
ACUUACGUGGGGCAGCCGGCGCGAAAAAUUUACAAUGAGGGCAAGCAUGAUAAGGGAACGACGAGUGCCAGCAUCUAAUACUGGCUGUCCUCGUCGUAAAAACAUAUAGCUGUAU